GCAGUGAGACUGACUGCGUCGGGGUUGAGACUGGGUGGAUGAGGCUCACCCCGGCGGGGAGAAGGGACGAGGAGGGGCGGACAGCGGAAGGUCCGGGAGUGUCCGCCAUUGCGUAAUUGUGAGUCUGUGAGAGAAGAUGUGAAGUAUGGCCUCGUCCCGGUCAUCUGGGCGUGCGGGUCCCGGGUUUUGAUCGCGCGUUUGUGUAGUUUUAACUUCUAGUCAUGGUGAAUGAUCCCAGGAGAGCACAGACUGGACCCUGCUACGAUCUCUCUUGGAGUGGAUCAGACUGAUGAUCACCAACAACCAACUCAUUCCCGGAUAAGGAAGAAGAGAGUGUCACCUACUUCAGUGUGGUUUCAACCCUACUUCUGCAUCUUAAAGACACUUGUACAACGUUGGACACUGUGCAGGAUGAUGCCACUUCAUCUUGGAUGCUAAUCUGCCAUGUUGACUUCUGAUUAACCCCAGGCCCAGGAAUGCCUCAAGAUUUCUACUUUACUUACUGUUGCUUGUGUAAUCCAAGACAACCUUGAUGUUAUCAUAAACAUGUACUUACCUAAGUCCUGUCCUUUGGCAAAUUAUGGGCUAUGAGACACAGCAUUCUUGCCUUUCCCUGAGGGGUCAAUUUCAGCGAUCCUACACAUUCCUUCUGAAGCA
rnacentral:lncRNA from 1 species